GCACAUUUGCUUUGGAAGAUGACACUAAUUUGCUCCAAGUGGAAAACCGGCUCCUAAGACUUUCAUUGUAUUAUGUAGAGAAAGCAAGGCCAGGAUUCAGAUGGCACUUUCUCAAAAGCAAAAACAAAACAAAACAAAACAAUACACCAAGGGCCGAAUACCAUAUGACAUUCAUACCAAAUGGCCUCCCAAGGACCCAGUUGUCCUGUCCUUGACAUCAGGACCGGGUGUGGACCAGAAGGAAGGGCUGCUGUGAUGGCAGAUGGUGAUACUGUUGCUUGGAAAUGGCUGGUGGCUCCCCAGCAUUUAGGAUUUACCCUCUCCCUCCUUCAGGAGGACAAGCUUGUGCUUCCUUCAGUGCGAGUUUGUAUCCGUGUGGGCGCAUCACUGUGCGCACGUGGAGGCCCCAGGGACAGCUUGCGAGCGAGGCUUCUCUCCUCCAGCGUGUUGGACUGGAACUCAGAUGGUCAGGCAUGGCGGCGCCUGCCCUGGCCCUAGCGUGUGAUUGAAAACAGUAAUUCAAAAACAAGGUGAUUCCCAUUGGAAUCCCGUGGCUUAGAAAAGGCUCCUUUAAAAAAACGACAAAGCAUGAGCCAGCGAGAUGGCUCCGUAAGUGAAGGCCCUUGCUGUCGAACCUGAUGACCUGAAUUUGGCCCCCCAGAGCCCAAGCGGUGGGAAGAGAGAAAUGACUCCCGGAAGUCAUCCUCUGAACUUUGCAUCCUCUCUCUCACUGAAUAAAUGUAAAAACAAUAUGAACUAACAACACAGCAUAAUUUUAGCAUGAUUUUCUUCUUGUCUAAAAGUUUUAAUGAGCUCCAAAGACCAAGGCCAACAUUAUCAGUAUCUAAGUCCUUCUACAUUCUAAAGAACACCCUGUGUGUGCUGUGUGUAUGUGUGUGUGUUCGUCAUUGCGUAUUUAUGCAGGAGAGCUACUAUAGAGAACUGGCUCUAUAGUAUACAUAGAACAUGCUUAUGAAGGAUCCAAGAUCUCAGUUGACCUGCUGAGCCAGCAGAGCCCAAAUGUGGAUCUCUUUCUACCCCACUGGCCUGAGAACCAGGAGACCCACGUGUAUAAGCUCUAGGCUGAAAGCCGGGAGGCCUGAGACCCGUAGGAGCACAGUGCCCCAGUGACACUCCCCCAGCCAAACAGAGCCCCCUCCCCUGCAGAACCCAGCCAGGCUUGGGUGAGCGAAACCUGCCUACGCUGACCCAGCUCGUGAGCAAGAAAUUUUGUUUUCACCCGCUGAUUUUGGGGUGGAGUUGUUGGGUGACAAUAACCAACUUACUGAAUGUCAUUCAGGAAAAUGUCUAUAUACCUUCUUAGGUUAUCUUGGCCAAAGGCUGAGAAAUGGUUCUAACUUCCUAAUAGGGAAAUGGAGUCCAUAAAUGAGUUACAAAUUGUCCAGGUGCAGACAAAAAUGAAAGGCAGAAAGCAGUAGAGCUGACCCUCUGGGUCCACUGGGUCUAUGUCUGUGGAUAGAAACAACUGUAGAUCAAAUGUAUAUUUUUUAAAAAUGGUGUCUGUACUGAACAGAUACAGAUGUUUUGGGCCAGCCUCUGAAAACACAGCCCGACAACCGCUGUAUAGAAUCUAUUUGUAUUAGGUGGUAUAAAUAAUUAAAAAAAUGAUUUCA